UUUUGCCACGCGACAUUCACCUGGUCAUACUGUUUUUGUUGGAACUGAACUGACGAUGAGAUUCCAUUGCUUUUUACUGAUAUCCUAUCGCGUAAACUGUUAAUACCGGCCAUUGUAAUAUCAGCAUCAGUUGCAGAUGCUGUAUUUUCUACUGAACCGAAAUUGGUGGAAACUGGUGGAAAAUGUGUUAUCAUACCCCUCACUAAACUGAAGAAGGCUGAAGUGAUUCGUUUGGAAGGAGAAAAACCACAUGUGUUUGUGUGUUACUACACCCGUGGGAAAAGAUGUUGGCGCUUAAAAGAAGAUGAAUUUUCACUGGAAUUUACAGGAGGAGACGUUUCCUUAAUUCUUAAAGAAAUCCGCUCCAAAAUCGUUAAAGUAAAAGUCUUUACCAGAAGAUAUGUUAUUUGGAAAUAUGUUGUCAAAAAACCAGAACUGGACCCCCCCACCUCCGGGGGAACUGAUCACGGUGGCCACGGGUACCUGGGGAAAUGUAGGGCAAUAGCCUGAUGAACCCCUGCUGUCUCCAGAUGUGGUGCACAAACAGAAACUGCUGCUGAGAAAACAAUGAAGAUCUGCUGGGUACUUGACUUGCUACUAAGUGUCAUAAAAUGUUAAGUACUGUAUUACUCCUAACACUUUAUUUAGAUUUGUUUACACUCUUGGUCCAAAUCUGACUUUGUCUAUAUCCAGUUGAAAUCAAAUAAUACUACGUAAACUACAUUCCUAUAUUAUUUGAAAUACCAUUUCUAAAAAUCCUUCUCAGUAUUAUGCAGGGUUGGGUGAUAAUGAUACGGAUAAUUGUCGUGAAAUAAUUUUACUUGACAAUGAUAACAAGAGUUUGCUAGAUGCUCGAUAUAAUGUUUACUGUAAGUGCCAAAAGUAAUUUAUCUGGUGUGUUUACGAGUCUCAGUCUCGUGAGCACUAAACAGCGCUGUGAGAUUAGGCAAACCUAUCCAACCUUUGCCUCCGAUACCACUGAUGUUUUCUUCCCCCCAUUUAAAUAUUUUUAGCAUUUAUUUAUCAGUAUGUGUGGAACAGAUAAUCAUUCUUUCACAAUCUACUAAAUACAGACUUCUUCAUUAUAAGACAAAAAAAAUACAAUAUGAAAAAAUAUAGCACUUGCACCAAAGGUUAAUAAACACAAAUCAGUCAGAAUAAAUACAUUUGACCGUAUAAAAUGAGUUUGUUACAAUUUUUACGGAUGUAACUAUUUUUGAUAAUCAAAGCAAGGCGAUUUCAAACACAGUGUUAAUUCAAAUUGCUUUACAUGAAAGGAAGCAACAUAAUAAUAACAAUGAAUAUCAACAUAAAAUGGACAGAAAUGAACAUCUGCAUCUUAACUUGAGCUACUACUGCUAAGAGUCUCCAAGAGACACACAAAAAUACGAAUAGAUAAUAUUAAUAAUUAAUACGAGUCAUUGGUCAUUUAGUUCUGAUCAUAAAACCACUAAAGCCACUCGAGUCACACAGUUCAAAACCACUAAAACAUUCUAGAAAACUUUCAUCUAGGAGCAAAAAUCUGCCUUUAAACUUGAAAGAAGUAAAGAUUUCAUAUUUAUUGUGAUAAUUAUCGAUAUCGAUUGAUAUGAAGACGUUUGUGAUUAAUUUUGAUCAUAUCGCCCAGCCCUAGUCUGAUAACUCAAUACCUUUUUUGCACUUUUUAUGUCAGAUCCACCAGUCACUAGUGGAAAUAAAUGAAAUGAAGGCUUUCUACUGUACCUUUCUGCCACUGCUAAUAAGAUAUAGUAAUCCACUGCUGUGUUAUUGUCAUUUUGAACGAUGAUGUAUUACAAACACUUCCAUGGUGCAAUAGAUUUUUUUUCGUGCAAUAAUCAGAUUUGGACUGAGAGUGAGAAUGUACUGUAGUCUUUAGACGCCAGUGAACUUUCCAAACUUUCCGUUAUUCAUUCUUCAUCUCAAACUUAUCUCUAUUCAUAAUCCGAUUGUAUUUUAAACGCACUUUUGUUUCUUGUCAGAGUGCAGAAACUUGAACACUUGUUAUGAUGUUAGGCAGAUUGUAGCUUUAGAUUUUAACAAGUGCUUUCUGCUUAUUGUGCAACGUAAUUCACUACCCUAUAUAAAGAUAUCUAUAUAAAAGUAUAUUCAUUCUUUAAUUAAGUGACAUUUUUGCAGAAUUAAUAUAUAAUUUCUUCAAUGCCUUGUUAUAUUUUAAUCAAAUAAAUAUUUUGCACCACAUAUUUAUCCCAACA